GCAGUCGAACGCUGAAGCAUCUUCGGGUGUGGAUGAGUGGCGAACGGGUGAGUAACACGUGGGUAACCUGCCCUGUACUUUGGGAUAAGCCCUGGAAACGGGGUCUAAUACCGAAUAUGACUCGCUAAGGCAUCUUGGUGGGUGGAAAGUUUCGGCGGUACAGGAUGGGCCCGCGGCCUAUCAGCUUGUUGGUGGGGUAGUGGCCUACCAAGGCGACGACGGGUAGCCGGCCUGAGAGGGUGACCGGCCACACUGGGACUGAGACACGGCCCAGACUCCUACGGGAGGCAGCAGUGGGGAAUAUUGCACAAUGGGCGGAAGCCUGAUGCAGCGACGCCGCGUGAGGGAUGACGGCCUUCGGGUUGUAAACCUCUUUCGCCAGGGACGAAGCGUAAGUGACGGUACCUGGAGAAGAAGCACCGGCUAACUACGUGCCAGCAGCCGCGGUAAUACGUAGGGUGCAAGCGUUGUCCGGAAUUAUUGGGCGUAAAGAGCUCGUAGGCGGCUUGUCGCGUCUGCUGUGAAAAUCCGGGGCUUAACUCCGGACCUGCAGUGGAUACGGGCAGGCUUGAGUUCGGUAGGGGAGACUGGAAUUCCUGGUGUAGCGGUGAAAUGCGCAGAUAUCAGGAGGAACACCGGUGGCGAAGGCGGGUCUCUGGGCCGAUACUGACGCUGAGGAGCGAAAGCGUGGGGAGCGAACAGGAUUAGAUACCCUGGUAGUCCACGCUGUAAACGUUGGGCGCUAGGUGUGGGCGACUUCCACGUUGUCCGUGCCGUAGCUAACGCAU
rnacentral:rRNA from 1 species